AUGUGGCAGCUCCCUGAAGAUGCUUCCAACAGAGGAAGCGAAACAAUGGAACCAGCGUCCUACACGACGCGGUCUAAUCCAGAAGAGUUAAAUCCCCAGUCAUUUGCUCAAACGUCAAACUCUGAGAGCCAGCACCUGCUUGCUCGAUCCAAGCCCAUCGACACUCCUACAGACCCUCUCUCCGCAACUCUCCACCUUUAUCUCCAAGAGCAUCAACUCCUUGCUCUCCUCUGGCAAAGAAACCCCCUCUCUAUCCUGACUCAGUGCAAAACUACAGCAUCAGCCAGCGUCGGUCACCCCUUAGAGUUGAGGAUGGAAUGGACCUUCUCGGUACUGGGUAGGAAGAAAUGA
rnacentral:lncRNA from 1 species